ACGGAGAGUUUGAUCCUGGCUCAGGACGAACGCUGGCGGCGUGCUUAACACAUGCAAGUCGAGCGGUAAGGCUCCUUCGGGAGUACACGAGCGGCGAACGGGUGAGUAACACGUGAGUAAUCUGCCCUUCACUUCGGGAUAACCAUCGGAAACGAUGGCUAAUACCGAAUACGACCAAGUCUUGCAUGAGAUCUUGGUGGAAAGUUUUUUCGGUGGAGGAUGUGCUCGCGGCCUAUCAGCUUGUUGGUGAGGUAACGGCUCACCAAGGCUUCGACGGGUAGCCGGCCUGAGAGGGUGACCGGCCACACUGGGACUGAGACACGGCCCAGACUCCUAC
rnacentral:rRNA from 14 species